GUGCAUUCUGGGGUGUUAUUGGCUUUUGGUUGUUUGCUUGGCUUUUUAGCUUCGCGGGUGGCUGUUUGCUAGGGCAGCUUCGGGGAUGUCUAUCGUAAAGGUGCAUGAGUGGUGUUUGGUUUGAUACGGGUGGUCGGCUCCCUGCUUGAGCAGGCACGGCUAUGCGUACUUUGCUUUUCAGUUGUGCGGCAAGGCUUGUAUCGCCUUGAUCGUUUAGGCGGGUUUCAUGUGUUGCAUACCUGAUCAACGGCAUCGUCUUUGAUCAAAAAAGUCCCUUUUUCGUCGAGCGUUGCACUCGUGACGUUGGACGAACCAAGUAGCAUUCUCUUUGAUCCAUCCUGUCAAUGAGCAUUUGUUGACUGUUUGGCCCAUUGAGGGAUGCUUGGUCUCUUGGAUAUAGAAGCCAAAGUGGGCAUGGGUUCGUAUGAUCCCUUUGUUGCCUAUUUCGUUGAGCGUUCUCGCUUCUCUUAAACGACUGUUUUUCACGUAUGGCAUGUCCCAGCGUGUUUGGCUAUGUCGAAGAGGAAUGCUACCUGGUUGAUCCUGCCAGUAGUCAUAUGCUUGUCUCAAAGAUUAAGCCAU
rnacentral:misc_RNA from 1 species